GUACUUAACCCAUACUUAAAGUAAAGCUAAAACCCUAAGCUGGGUCUAUUUUUAGAUCUAAUACAAAAAGGUGCUAAGUACCUAUGAAAGUCAAAUUAAUCACUAUAAGUUCAAGCAAGCUUAGCAAGAGGUUUGAGGUUUUAGUCUACUCAGGUGUGAAUUACUCAAAAGUUUAGUCUACUCAGGUGUGAAUUAAGAAUGGUCAGUCCUAUGAAAAUGUCUACUGUGAUUGAUAGAUGUGAAAACUUAGGGGAGGUGACAUAGGAGAAAAUUCUCUUUAAAAGGAGGUCAUAAAGGCCUCUGAGGUAAUUCAGCUAUGGAGCUGAAUAGAAGGCUGGUCUCUGUCUUGGUGGCUGAAAGGGAAUUCAGCCUUGGAAGCUGAAAUGGAGCUUCCUGAGCUAUACUGGAGGGUAUCUCUGAACACUAGAGUUUUGCUUGGAAGGACCUUGUGUCAGCCUAGAAGAAUGUAGAUAAAAUUAUAUGGGGAUAAGGACUGGACUUAUGGUCUCAGAUAUAAGGAGCUCUCAAACAACAGCCUCCCCUCUACUUAUUUAAUUGCUGCAUUAGUUCUACCAUUUCUUCUCAAAAGCCUACCCAAGUCAACCUAAUUCCUCCAAAAACUAUGAGAAGGAUCACAUUUUAAAAAAUACUUUGAUUCUGAAAAUAAUGAAAGAUCCACAGUCAAGAAAGAAUGUUGCACAACCACAGAUUCAGCAGGGGAGACUCAAGAAUUCUGCUCUCUUAGCAAUCAACCGGGCAAAAAAUAGUAAAAGAAAAAU